UGUUGAGGAAGGAGGGGCGCCCGGUGG
rnacentral:sRNA from 1 species